rnacentral:rRNA from 1 species
GACGAACGCUGGCGGCGUGCUUAACACAUGCAAGUCGAACGGUGAGGCGCCUUCCUUUUUGGUUGGUGUGGAUGAGUGGCGAACGGUUGAGCAACACUUGAGUAACCUGCCCCCUGCUUCUGGAUAACCGCACGAAAGCGUGGCUAAUACGGGAUAUUCUGGGUCUGUCGCAUGAUGGGUCUGGGAAAGCUAUUGGUUCUGUGGGGGAUGGUCUCGCGGCCUAUCAGCUUGUUGGUGGUGUGAUGGCCUACCAAGGCGGUGACGGGUAGCCGGCCUGGGCGGGUAGACGGCCUGAGUGGGACUGCGGCACCGCUGGGACUGCGACGGGGGGCAGCAGUGGAGGGUAGUGAACAGUGGGCGAAAGUCUGAUGCAGCGGCGCGGCGGGAGGGGUAGCGGCCUGCGGGUUGUGAACGUCUUUCGGUAGUGAAGCGGGUCUGCCUGGUAUGUGGGUGGGUUGACGGUAGCUGGUAAAGAAGCGCCGGCUAACUACGUG